rnacentral:sRNA from 1 species
AUUCCUUUCGGUUACUACAACCAUCAUUCUCAUUGUCAGGGUAAAUAAAGUGAAUCAAAUGAUCAGUGAAGAUUCACACCUUAUCUCCAGAAGAUCAAUAGCCAAUAGAACUAUUUCCUCAAAGUAUAACUUUCAAAAGGAAUGUUUAGAAGAUGUAAUUUCAUUAGAAUCAGAAAGACCAAUAGUAUACAACCUUGAGAAGAUUGAAGAGGCUACGAAUAACUUCGAUGAAAGUCGAAGAAUAGGAAGUGGUGGAU